rnacentral:rRNA from 1 species
CAGUAGCGUAUAUUAAAGUUGUUGCAUUUAAAAAGCUCGUAGUUGAUGCUGCGCUUGGCGUCGGCGAUGCUAGUCAUUGUUGGUGUCCGGGCGUUAAUCGGUUUGUGUCGCCGUUUGCACUGUGAGAAAAUUAGAGUGAUUCAAACAGUCUUGGACUGAAUGCUUCAGCACGGUAUGGGGUUUUGACUUCGCUUCUCGUCAUGCACUUGUGUUUCGAGGGGUGAGUAAAGGUUAAUAGAGACAGACGAUGGAAUUCGUAUUGAGUUGUUAGAGGUGAAAUUCUUGGACCAACUCAAGACGACCUGAAGCGAAAGCUCUUUCCACGGAUGUCCUUAUUAA